rnacentral:rRNA from 1 species
AAAGGUUGACGGUUAAUACCCGUCAGCUGUGACGUUACUCGCAGAAGAAGCACCGGCUAACUCCGUGCCAGCAGCCGCGGUAAUACGGAGGGUGCGAGCGUUAAUCGGAAUUACUGGGCGUAAAGCGCAUGCAGGCGGCCAAGUCAGUCAGAUGUGAAAGACCCCGGGCGUUAACCUGGGAAUUGCAUUUGUAAACUAGCUUGGCUAGAGUCCUUGAGAGGGGGGUAGGAAUUUCUAGGUGUAGCGGUGAAAUAGCGUAGAGAUCUGAAGGAAUACCAGUGGCAAAGGCGGCCCCCUCGGCAAGAGACUGACGCUCAGAUGCGAAAGCGUGGGGAGCAAACAGGAUUAGAUACCCUGGUAG